ensembl:lncRNA
GGGGUACCGGUACAGAGUCAGUGUGGAGGCUAUAUACAGGGGGUACCGGUACAGAGUCAGUGUGGAGGCUAUAUACAGGGGGGUACCGGUACAGAGUCAAUGUGGAGGCUAUAUACAGGGGGGGUACCGGUACAGAGUCAGUGUGGAGGCUAUAUACAGGGGGGUACCGGUACAGAGUCAGUGUGGAGGCUAUAUACAGGGGGUACCGGUACAGAGUCAAUGUGGAGGCUAUAUACAGGGGGGUACCGGUACAGAGUCAGUGUGGAGGCUAUAUACAGGGGGGUACCGGUACAGAGUCAGUGUGGAGGCUAUAUACAGGGGGGGUACCGGUACAGAGUCAGUGUGGAGGCUAUAUACAGGGGGGUACCGGUACAGAGUCAAUGUGGAGGCUAUAUACAGGGGGUACCGGUACAGAGUCAGUGUGGAGGCUAUAUACAGGGGGUACCUGUACAGAGUCAGUGUGGAGGCUAUAUACAGGGGGGGUACCGGUACAGAGUCAGUGUGGAGGCUAUAUACAGGGGG